rnacentral:rRNA from 1 species
GACGUAGGAGGCGAGCGUUGUCCGGAUUCAUUGGGCGUAAAGAGCGCGCAGGCGGCUUGGUAAGUCGGAUGUGAAAACCCGAGGCUCAACCUCGGGCGUGCGUCCGAAACUGCUCGGCUAGAGGUAGGUAGGGGAGAUCGGAAUUCCUGGUGUAGCGGUGAAAUGCGCAGAUAUCAGGAGGAACACCGGUGGCGAAGGCGGAUCUCUGGGCCUUACCUGACGCUCAGGCGCGAAAGCUAGGGGAGCGAACUGG